rnacentral:rRNA from 1 species
UACGAAGGGGGCGAGCGUUGUUCGGAUUUACUGGGCGUAAAGGGCGCGCAGGCGGUCUUGGAAGUCAGGCGUGAAAGCCCCGGGCUUAACCUGGGAAUUGCGCUUGAUACUCUGAGACUGGAGUACGGGAGAGGAGAGUGGAAUUCCCAGUGUAGAGGUGAAAUUCGUAGAUAUCGGGAGGAACACCGGUGGCGAAGGCGGCGAUCUGGGUCGAUACUGACGCUGAGGUGCGAAAGCGUGGGGAGCAAACAGG